rnacentral:rRNA from 1 species
ACGAACGCUGGCGGCGUGCUUAACACCUGCCAGUCGCACGGAAAGGCCCUGCUUUUGUGGGGUGCUCGAGUGGCGAACGGGUGAGUAACACGUGAGUAACCUGCCCUUGACUUUUGGAUAACUUCAGGAAACUGGGGCUAAUACCGGAUAGGAGCUCCUGCUGCAUGGUGGGGGUUGGAAAGUUUCGGCGGUUGGGGAUGGACUCGCGGCUUAUCAGCUUGUUGGUGGGGUAGUGGCUUACCAAGGCUUUGACGGGUAGCCGGCCUGAGAGGGUGACCGGCCACAUUGGGACUGAGAUACGGCCCAGACUCCUACGGGAGGCAGCAGUGGGGAAUAUUGCACAAUGGGCGGAAGCCUGAUGCAGCAACGCCGCGUGCGGGAUGACGGCCUUCGGGUUGUAAACCGCUUUCGCCUGUGACGAAGCGUGAGUGACGGUAAUGGGUAAAGAAGCACCGGCUAACUACGUG